GCAGCUUCUGCAGGUGGUCAAACCUGAAGAGAUUUAAAAAACAUUGUAACUGAAGAAAAAAUGACAGCCGGCAUGAAAUCGUGUAAGCAUGGCAUGGCAACCGGAGGAAGCGUUAAGCCACCUGAUUCAAGCAAGGCCAUCCAGGAUCUACACAGAACGUUGUUGAUGCUGCCUAGAUUUUACAUGUGACUACAAGGAUGAAUUUCACCUCCAGACGCAGAGCUUCACAUCACAUCAUGACGGAAAUGCAGCCUACCUGCACUGCCAGUCAAAGACUGCUGUAUGCCGGAUGCCCUGGCACCACAGAGCCUUUGAAACCUUCUCAUGUUUCUUCAACACCUGAUGGUGAUUGUUCAACUGGAGAUUUACAGCUGACCUGAAACUUAAAGCUUUCAAAUAGCUGAAGUUACAGGAGCUUGAAACGGUGAUGGAUUCACCAGAGCGAUAGUGUUAUCAUCAUCUGAUGGCUGCUGAACAGUGAAAUGAGAUGGUAAUUUCUGCAUUCCAGCCCUUAAACGUUCCUACCACCAAAAACACCAACACAACUCAAAGAAAAAGCUAUUUAGAGUCCUUAUCUUCCGGACACAUUUGCAUAUGUUUGAGCUCUAACCACAUCAGUAACAUACCAGCUUUAAUGGAAUAUCUCCUGUGAUAGUUUAUCAAAUGUGUAAGAACUUGCAGGAUGAAGGCCUCAGUUAUCUCCAAGAAAAGAGACUUCCUGCCCCCUG